GAUUGAAUUUAACUGAAUUUUGCAUGUAAAUUUUUGUAUGAUUUGUAAAAAUUUAAAUAAUUUUUAUAAUUAAUUAAUUCACAGUAAAAAAAUUUAAAUAUUAAGUAAAUUUAGAUUUAGGUAUUGUUAUAAGUAUUAACAAAAUUUGUGCCAGCAGUUGCGGUUAUACAGAUAAUACAAUUUAAUUAAAUUUAGUUUUAAUAAUUAUUAUAGUAAAAUUUUAAUUUUAAAUUUAUUAGGUGAAAUUUUAAAUUUAAAAAAAAUUUUUUUUUAUAAGAUGUGAGAAAUUUUAAUUUUAGACUAGGAUUAGAUACCCUAUUAUUAUAAAAGUAAAAAAUUUUAAACUAGAUUAGUAUUAGUUAUGUUCUUAAAAAUUAAAAAUUUUGGCGGUAUUUUAGUCUAUUCAGAGGAACCUGUCCUAUAAUUGAUAAUCCACGAGUUAAUUAACUUUAAUUAUUAGUUUGUAUAUCGUCGUAAUUUGAAUAUUUUAAAAGAAUUAAAAUGUUCGAUUUUUUAUUAGAAAAAGAAUUCAGAUCAAGGUAUAGUUUAUAUUAAAGAAGUGAUGGGUUACAAUAAUAAUAAUUAGAAGGAUUAGAUAUUGAGAAUAUUUAUUAAUUUGGAUUUGAUAGUAAUAUUUUAAAAAUUUAAAAUAUGAUAUAAGCUCUAAAAUAUGUACAUAUCGCCCGUCGCUUUCAUUUUAAUGUGAAAUAAGUCGUAACAAAGUAGAUUUACCGGAAGGUGAGGCUAGAA
rnacentral:ncRNA from 1 species